rnacentral:rRNA from 1 species
GUGAGGAAUAUUGCGCAAUGGACGAAAGUCUGACGCAGCCAUGCUGCGUGAAGGAUUGACGGCCCUAUGGGUUGUAAACUUCUUUUGUAUAGGAAUAAACCCUCGUUCGUGAACGAGGCUGAAGGUACUAUAAGAAUAAGCACCGGCUAACUCCGUGCCAGCAGCCGCGGUAAUACGGAGGGUGCAAGCGUUAUCCGGAUUUAUUGGGUUUAAAGGGUCCGUAGGCGGAUCGUUAAGUCAGUGGUGAAAUCCUACCGCUCAACGGUAGAACUGCCAUUGAUACUGGCGAUCUUGAGUAUGUAUGAAGUUGGCGGAAUGUGUGGUGUAGCGGUGAAAUGCUUAGAUAUCACACAGAACACCGAUUGUGAAGGCAGCUGACUAAUACACAACUGACGCUGAGGGACGAAAGUGUGGGGAUCAAACAGGAUUAGAUACCCUUGUAGUCC